rnacentral:rRNA from 1 species
AUGGCCUCCUCCGCCUCCUCUGCGGCUCUCUCCGCCCUCCCUUUUCCCACCUGCUUCUCCUCCGACGACGACUCCGACGACUCUGACGACGCCAAGCCCAUCCCGCCUCCACCCGUAUCGGCAGAGACCUGCCCUCCUCCUCCUCCGCAGCAUCAGCAGAAGCUGCGGCGAUGGCAGCUGGAGCGCGAGUGCAACAUGGCCAUGAAUGCCCUGGCGCGCGCGGGCGACGUCGACCAGGUGCUCGCCAUCUUCGCAGAGCUCUGGGCUUUCGGAACUGGCCCGGGUGGUGCCUCGCCGCCCAACGUGCUCUGCUACAACACGCUCAUCAACGCGCUGGCCGAAGCUGGUCACGUGGAGGAGGCCCACCUUGUGUUCGACGAAAUGCUUGCAGCAGGGGUGGCGCCCAACGUGUCGUCCCUCAACAUCCUUGUCAAGAUGUAUUCGUGCAAACCUAUGCAGUUUGACCUCGCGUUCAAUGAGAUCGUCCGGAUGCGAGAGCUUGGGGUGGAAGCCGACGCGGGCACGUACUCCACGCUCGUCACGGGGCUGUGCCGCGCGGGGAUGGUCGAGGAGGCGUUGGGCGUGCUCGAAUGGAUGCGCGAAGAGGGGUGCCCUCCCAUGGUGCAAACCUACACGCCCAUUGUACAACAAUAUUGCCGCAAGGGCCUCGUCGAGGAGGCCAAGAAGCUGAUGGACAGGAUGGAAGGCGGCGGUUGCCCUCCAAACAUAGUUACCUACAAUGUUCUGAUCAGGGCUUUGUGUGAUGCCACCGAAUUUGAGGAGGUCAGGCAAGUUUUGAUGGAGAGUAGAACCGAAGGU